rnacentral:snRNA from 1 species
AGAUGUGAGGGUAAUCUGGCUCCAACAUCUGUCACCCCAUUGAUCACCGGAGUUGAUUUGGCUGAUCUGGCUAGCUAGGUAGAUAUCCUCCUCCUCCAUCAGUACUCUGUGGAUGUCCCUCCCAAAGUUGCAUGCUCAGUCAAAGAAGAUCACCAUCCCCCAUAGAGGAGGACCAUUUCUCCUCCAUCAAAGUUAUAUGAGUAGCUGUGCUCUUUUGCAAGAACUUCCAAACAAUCUCUUCAGAUCCAAGGCUGAAUUUGUGCCUUUUUCCAAGAUACCUU